rnacentral:rRNA from 1 species
AGUAAUAUAUCGGAACGUGCCCUGGAGUGGGGGAUAACGUAGCGAAAGUUACGCUAAUACCGCAUACGAUCUACGGAUGAAAGUGGGGGAUUCGCAAGAACCUCACGCUCCUGGAGCGGCCGAUAUCUGAUUAGCUAGUUGGUGGGGUAAAAGCCUACCAAGGCGACGAUCAGUAGCUGGUCUGAGAGGACGACCAGCCACACUGGGACUGAGACACGGCCCAG